rnacentral:tRNA from 1 species
AAAGUUUUAAGUUAAAUUAAACUAAUAAUCUUCAAAAUUAUAAAUAAAUUAAUAAUUAUUUAAACUUUA